GGAAUAUUGGGCAAUGGGCGAAAGCCUGACCCAGCAACGCCGCGUGAGUGAAGAAGGCCUUCGGGUUGUAAAGCUCUGUUACAGGUGACGAAGGAAGUGACGGUAGCUUGUAAGGAAGCCCCGGCUAACUACGUGCCAGCAGCCGCGGUAAUACGUAGGGGGCGAGCGUUGUCCGGAAUGACUGGGCGUAAAGGGCGUGUAGGCGGUUUUUUAAGUCUGGAGUGAAAGUCCUGCAUUCAAUGUGGGAAUUGCUUUGGAUACUGGAAGACUUGAGUGCGGAAGAGGUAAGUGGAAUUCCCAGUGUAGCGGUGAAAUGCGUAGAGAUUGGGAGGAACACCAGUGGCGAAGGCGACUUACUGGGCCGUAACUGACGCUGAGGCGCGAAAGCGUGGGGAGCGAACA
rnacentral:rRNA from 1 species